rnacentral:lncRNA from 1 species
ACAAAACCAAGAAAGGUUAGUUCAGGCAGAGAAAUACACAUAACACAUUGUAGCAACAAGAUAAAACAAUCAAUACAAAGCAAUAAAAGAGAAAAAAAAAGGGUUGGAUCCCUCCCCUCGUGAAUAGUGUCCCUAGCUCAGGAUAAGGCCAACUCUACCCUAGGCAAUUCUAAAAUGGAUGCAUGAGGUUAGGCUUCGCUAAUGCAUCUAGACUCGAUAAGCUCAGGUCCCCGAGCCUUCAGACUUAGAAACCAAGGGUCAUCAAUCCCAAGGUUCUUUGUCGGUGGCUCGAGCGAUUCCCCAAACACCGCUACGCACACAUCGUGUCGCGGCUACGUGUUUGAGUGAAUCUAUCAAGAUCCUCAACCUUCGACUAAAAGCUAAAGGCUAUCAACCCAUAGCUUAAAGCGGAAGAUUGAGUGACCCAUUGGAUCAUGCUACACACACAUCGUGUCGUGAUCACAUGUCCAAGUAGGUCGCCUAAUCCUAGUAGGGUGGAGUGGCGUGACAAGCCACUAAAAGAAAAAUAAAUUAAGGGAUAAAAAAUAAAGCGUAUGCACGUAUGCUAGUGCUCGUUUGGAGGGAAGGGAUCGAGAACCAACGCGAGGCUCUAAGGUGAUGUCCCCCACCCAAAUGCAAUGCAAGCGCGAGAUAAGCAAGUAAACAUACAUCCAAUCAACCAAUCAUACAUUCGCGAGCGAGGGAGUAGUUGGACAUGCGUGAAAUGCAAAAAUCCUAAAAAAGGAAAAAAUGCAA